rnacentral:rRNA from 1 species
AUUGAACGCUGGCGGCAUGCCUUACACAUGCAAGUCGAACGGCAGCACGGGUGCUUGCACCUGGUGGCGAGUGGCGAACGGGUGAGUAAUAUAUCGGAACGUACCUUAUUGUGGGGGAUAACGCAGCGAAAGCUGUGCUAAUACCGCAUAAUCCCUAAGGGGGAAAGCGGGGGACCGUAAGGCCUCGCGCAAUUAGAGCGGCCGAUACCUGAUUAGCUAGUUGGUGAGGUAAAGGCUCACCAAGGCAACGAUCAGUAGCUGGUCUGAGAGGACGAUCAGCCACACUGGGACUGAGACACGGCCCAGACUCCUACGGGAGGCAGCAGUGGGGAAUUUUGGACAAUGGGGGCAACCCUGAUCCAGCAAUGCCGCGUGAGUGAAGAAGGCCUUCGGGUUGUAAAGCUCUUUUGUCAGGGAAGAAACAGCAGCUCUAACACAGUUUGCGAAUGACGGUACUUGAAGAAUAAGCACCGGCUAACUACGUGCCAGCCACCGCAGUAA